GCUGGGUGUGGUGGCCCAUGCCUGUAAUCCCAGCAGCUUGGGAGCCUGAGACAGGAGGAUCAUGAGUUCAAAAGCCAGCCUCAGCAAAAGCGAAAUGCUAAACAACCCAGUGAGACCCUGUCUCUA
rnacentral:sRNA from 1 species